rnacentral:rRNA from 1 species
CCUACGGGCGGCAGCAGUGAGGAAUAUUGGUCAUUGGUCGGAAGGCUGAACCAGCCAUGCCGCGUGAAGGUCAGUGCCCUAUGGGCGUUAAACUUCUUUUGUGCGGGAGCAAUAAUGGUCACGUGUGGCCAGACGAGAGUACCGUACGAAUAAGCAUCGGCUAACUCCGUGCCAGCAGCCGCGGUAAUACGGGGGAUGCAAGCGUUAUCCGGAGUUAUUGGGUUUAAAGGGUGCGUAGGCUGUGAGGUAAGUCAGCGGGGAAAUGCCCCCGCUCAACGGGGUGAAGUGCCAUUGAUACUGGCUUGCUGGAAUGCGGAUGCCGUGGGAGGAAUGUGUGGUGUAGCGGUGAAAUGCAUAGAUAUCACACAGAACACCGAUUGCGAAGGCAUCUCACGAAUCCGCGAUUGACGCUGAUGCACGAAAGCGUGGGUAUCAAACAGGAUUAGAUACCCGAGUAGUC